CACGUAGGGUGCGAGCGUUGUCCGGAAUUAUUGGGCGUAAAGAGCUCGUAGGCGGUGUGUCGCGUCGGCCGUGAAAACCUGCAGCUUAACUGUGGGCUUGCGGUCGAUACGGGCAUCACUGGAGUUCGGCAGGGGAGACUGGAACUCCUGGUGUAGCGGUGAAAUGCGCAGAUAUCAGGAGGAACACCGGUGGCGAAGGCGGGUCUCUGGGCCGAUACUGACGCUGAGGAGCGAAAGCGUGGGGAGCAAACAGG
rnacentral:rRNA from 1 species